rnacentral:rRNA from 1 species
UGGUGGGUAGUUUGACUGGGGCGGUCUCCUCCUAAAGAGUAACGGAGGAGCACGAAGGUUGGCUAAUCCUGGUCGGACAUCAGGAGGUUAGUGCAAUGGCAUAAGCCAGCUUGACUGCGAGCGUGACGGCGCGAGCAGGUGCGAAAGCAGGUCAUAGUGAUCCGGUGGUUCUGAAUGGAAGGGCCAUCGCUCAACGGAUAAAAGGUACUCCGGGGAUAACAGGCUGAUACCGCCCAAGAGUUCAUAUCGACGGCGGUGUUUGGCACCUCGAUGUCGGCUCAUCACAUCCUGGGGCUGAAGUAGGUCCCAAGGGUAUGGCUGUUCGCCAUUUAAAGUGGUACGCGAGCUGGGUUUAGAACGUCGUGAGACAGUUCGGUCCCUAUCUGCCGUGGGCGCUGGAGAACUGAGGGGGGCUGCUCCUAGUACGAGAGGACCGGAGUGGACGCAUCACUGGUGUUCGGGUUGUCAUGCCAAUGGCACUGCCCGGUAGCUAAAUGCGGAAGAGAUAAGUGCUGAAAGCAUCUAAGCACGAAACUUGCCCCGAGAUGAGUUCUCCCUGACUCCUUGAGAGUCCUGAAGGAACGUUGAAGACGACGACGUUGAUAGGCCGGGUGUGUA